rnacentral:lncRNA from 1 species
CAUGUCACCACUACUCAUCAUCAUCGGAGGUGGUGAUUGCUGCCACCCACCUCCACCUGGCCCAAUUGCACCUGGAGGUGGUGGGACCUUGCCCAUGUGGUCCAUCCCUUGGGGUUGCCAUUUCGGAAGUGAUCCAUUGUUGUAGUAUCCACCACCUACACAGGUAACCAUAUUCACCAACACAUGAAUGGUUGAAAGAUGCAAUAAAACAAACACCACAGACACUGACAAUUAUUACAUUGUGAGAUCAUGGAAAUUCACAAGCCUUACAGAUUACAUAGCGAGACCACAUUUUCCAAUGCCUUGCUCUUCAUAACGUAACUCUUCUCACAAUAGUUCAGGAAAUUAAUUUUAUAUUACUAAUGUCACCUCUCCUGUCUCUAAUAGAAGCACAGGACUAGUUAAAUGCAAUGGCACUCUACUGGAAGCUCUACGGGAGACACGAGUACUUGAUUUGCAUAAACUUAGAUCUUCAAACAUCGAUCAAAGUUCAUUCAAAAUACUGAUACUUGCUUGCAUCAAACAGUAGCCCAUCCAGCUAAAUUGAAACCAUCUUUAACAAGAACUAUAAAUUAAUCGCAGCGAUGCUUCACAUAUCAUUAAUGAAACAACAUGAGAAAGGUGAUCAAAAAGAAUAACAGCAGAUGAUCAAUUCAGUAUGUAGGAUGUUUAUGUUUCUGUGCAUUGCUUCUACCUAAUUGAAAUGCUUAAAUUCCUUCCAUGCUGUUGUACUUGAAAUAGAAGAACUUGAGAGUUUAGCUAGAUAAAUAACCAUUGCAGGCAAAACUAGCUCAAAAUACCUUUGAUCAUUGGAGAAUCAUAAUACCGCAUGCUAUUGCGAUGCUUCUUCUUCUUAAGGCAGCAGCAUAAUGCAACAGCCAGCAAAGCAAUGACGAACAGUGUGAUGCCCACGGCAGCCCCCACGAUAAGAGGCACAUCAGUUGUGUCAGUAUCGCUGCUUCCUCCACCAUCGCCGCCGCUGCCCCCGCCGCCGCUAUUCUUGACAUUCUUCGAUGACUUCGAGUCGUCUGUGGUCGAUGACGAAGGUGAUGUGUUCCUAGAACUCUUUGGAGGGGGUGGGAUUGCACCAGAAUGGUGUGUUGAGGACAUAGACUGAGGUGGUGGUGGUGGCGGCGGUGUCACAACAGACUGGGUUGGUGGAGGUGGCGGAGAGGGAGACUUUUUCGACUCAGGUGGUGGGGAUGGUGGCGAAGGUGGGGGCGAUGAUGGAGGUGGAUCGGCCGGGGUGGCCGGUGGAGGUGCUGUUGAGGGUGGUGGCGAUGGUGGUGGAGAUGCUGGGGGUGGUGAUGCCUC